UCAUUGAUAGGAGCGAUGUGACCAGCGAUUCUCAACUUUCCAUAAAGUUGGCCUAUAUGCUCAGUCAGAGGAGUAUAAGUUUUUUCAAGUCUCUCCUCAACCUUGAAGAGAUUUUUGCGGAUAUGCGGUGGAGUGACGACUUUGGCAUUGUGACUAGGAUAUGUAGGCUGUUGAUAUGGACGAGGAGGCCUUUGGUACGGGGACAUUUGAUAUGGAAGGAUUGGAAAUGAUAUGAG
rnacentral:misc_RNA from 1 species